UACGUAGGGUGCAAGCGUUGUCCGGAAUUAUUGGGCGUAAAGAGCUCGUAGGCGGUCUGUCGCGUCGGCUGUGAAAUCCCGAGGCUCAACCUCGGGUCUGCAGUCGAUACGGGCAAACUAGAGUAUUGCAGGGGAGACUGGAAUUCCUGGUGUAGCGGUGAAAUGCGCAGAUAUCAGGAGGAACACCGGUGGCGAAGGCGCUGCUCUGGGCCGAAACUGACGCUGAGGAGCGAAAGCGUGGGUAGCAAACAGG
rnacentral:rRNA from 1 species